UGGGUUGCAAUGAUUAUAAAAAUUCGUAGUUCUGAAUGCUAUUGCCAUGGCAUGAUAGACACAUUUACACCCAUAGAAUAUGAGCACC